rnacentral:rRNA from 1 species
UACAUGGGGUGCAAACGUUGCUCGGAAUUAUUGGGCGUAAAGCGCACGUAGGCGGUUUGUUAAGUCGGGCGUGAAAUCCCUGAGCUCAACUCAGGAACUGCACCUGAAACUGUCGGCCUUGAGUAGUGGAGAGGAAAGCAGAAUUCCUGGUGUAGAGGUGAAAUUCGUAGAUAUCAGGAGGAACACCGGUGGCGAAGGCGGCUUUCUGGACACUUACUGACACUGAGACGCGAAAGCGUGGGGAGCAAACAGG